GGGUGAGUAACGCGUGGGAACGUGCCCUGGAGUAUGGAAUAACGUCGGGAAACUGACGCUAAUACCAUAUAUGGCGAAAGCUGAAAGAUUUAUCGCUCCAGGAUCGGCCCGCGUCAGAUUAGCUAGUUGGUGGGGUAAUGGCCUACCAAGGCGACGAUCUGUAGCUGGUCUGAGAGGAUGAUCAGCCACACUGGGACUGAGACACGGCCCAGACUCCUACGGGAGGCAGCAGUGGGGAAUAUUGGACAAUGGGCGAAAGCCUGAUCCAGCCAUGCCGCGUGAGUGAUGAAGGCCUUCGGGUUGUAAAGCUCUUUUGGCGGGGACGAUAAUGACGGUACCCGCAGAAUAAGCCCCGGCUAACUUCGUGCCAGCAGCCGCGGUAAUACGAAGGGGGCGAGCGUUGUUCGGAAUUACUGGGCGUAAAGGGCGCGUAGGCGGCUUCAGAAGUCAGGUGUGAAAGCCUUGGGCUUAACCCAAGAAUUGCACUUGAUACUCUGUGGCUAGAAUGCAGGAGAGGUUGGUGGAAUUCCCAGUGUAGAGGUGAAAUUCGUAGAGAUUGGGAAGAACACCAGUGGCGAAGGCGGCCAACUGGCCUGUGAUUGACGCUGAGGCGCGAAAGCGUGGGGAGCAAACAGGA
rnacentral:rRNA from 1 species